GAUGAACGCUGGCGGCGUGCUUAACACAUGCAAGUCGAACGGGAAACCUUUUAUUGAAGCUUCGGCAGAUUUAACUGGUUUCUAGUGGCGGACGGGUGAGUAACGCGUGGGUAACCUGCCUUGUACAGGGGGAUAACAGUCAGAAAUGACUGCUAAUACCGCAUAAGCGCACAGGACCGCAUGGUCCGGUGUGAAAAACUCCGGUGGUAUAAGAUGGACCCGCGUUGGAUUAGCUUGUUGGUGGGGUAACGGCCCACCAAGGCGACGAUCCAUAGCCGGCCUGAGAGGGUGAACGGCCACAUUGGGACUGAGACACGGCCCAGACUCCUACGGGAGGCGGCAGUGGGGAAUAUUGCACAAUGGGGGAAACCCUGAUGCAGCGACGCCGCGUGAAGGAAGAAGUAUCUCGGUAUGUAAACUUCUAUCAGCAGGGAAGAAAAUGACGGU
rnacentral:rRNA from 1 species